GAUGAACGCUGGCGGCGUGCCUAAUACAUGCAAGUCGAGCGAACAGACGAGGAGCUUGCUCCUCUGACGUUAGCGGCGGACGGGUGAGUAACACGUGGAUAACCUACCUAUAAGACUGGGAUAACUUCGGGAAACCGGAGCUAAUACCGGAUAAUAUAUUGAACCGCAUGGUUCAAUAGUGAAAGACGGUUUUGCUGUCACUUAUAGAUGGAUCCGCGCCGCAUUAGCUAGUUGGUAAGGUAACGGCUUACCAAGGCAACGAUGCGUAGCCGACCUGAGAGGGUGAUCGGCCACACUGGAACUGAGACACGGUCCAGACUCCUACGGGAGGCAGCAGUAGGGAAUCUUCCGCAAUGGGCGAAAGCCUGACGGAGCAACGCCGCGUGCGUGAUGAAGGUCUUCGGAUCGUAAAACUCUGUUAUUAGGGAAGAACAAAUGUGUAAGUAACUAUGCACGUCUUGACGGUACCUAAUCAGAAAGCCACGGCUAACUACGUG
rnacentral:rRNA from 1 species